rnacentral:rRNA from 1 species
AAUAGAUACCCGGGUAGUCCACGCCCUAAACGAUGUCUACUAGUUGUCGGGGGGUAACUCCUUCGGUAACGCAGCUAACGCGUGAAGUAGACCGCCUGGGGAGUACGGUCGCAAGAUUAAAACUCAAAGGAAUUGACGGGGACCCGCACAAGCGGUGGAUGAUGUGGAUUAAUUCGAUGCAACGCGAAAAACCUUACCUACCCUUGACAUGCCACUAACGAAGCAGAGAUGCAUUAGGUGCCCGAAAGGGAAAGUGGACACAGGUGCUGCAUGGCUGUCGUCAGCUCGUGUCGUGAGAUGUUGGGUUAAGUCCCGCAACGAGCGCAACCCUUGCCAAUAGUUGCUACGAAAGGGCACUCUAUUGGGACUGCCGGUGACAAACCGGAGAAAGGUGGGGAUGACGUCAAGUCCUCAUGGCCCUUAUGGGUAGGGCUUCACACGUCAUACAAUGGCUGGUACAGAGGGUUGCCAACCCGGCGAGGGGGGAGCCAAUCCCACAAAACCAGUCGUAGUCCGGAUUGCAGUCUGCAACUCGACUGCA